GGAAAAGAAACCAACAGGGAUUGCCUCAGUAACGGCGAGUGAAGCGGCAUAAGCUCAAAUUUGAAAUCUGGCUCUUUCAGGGUCCGAGUUGUAAUUUGUAGAAGAUGUUUCGGGUGUGGUUCCGGUCUAAGUUCCUUGGAACAGGACGUCAUAGAGGGUGAGAAUCCCGUAUGUGACUGGAUACCUACGCCCAUGUGAAACUCUUUCGACGAGUCGAGUUGUUUGGGAAUGCAGCUCAAAAUGGGUGGUAUAUUUCAUCUAAAGCUAAAUAUUGGCCAGAGACCGAUAGCGCACAAGUAGAGUGAUCGAAAGAUGAAAAGCACUUUGGAAAGAGAGUUAAACAGUACGUGAAAUUGUUGAAAGGGAAGCGCUUGCAAUCAGACUUGCGCCUAGUUGAUCAUCUAAGCUUCUGUUUGGUGCACUCAAUUAGGCUCAGGCCAGCAUCGGUUUGGGUGGUUGGAUAAAGGCCUAGGGAAUGUAGCCUCCUUCGGGUGGUGUUAUAGCCCUAGGUGCAAUGCAGCCUACCUGGACCGAGGACCGCGCUUCGGC
rnacentral:rRNA from 1 species